UGAGGUAAAGUGCACACCCAGCAUAAA
rnacentral:piRNA from 1 species